CACGGGGGGAGCAAGCGUUGUUCGGAAUCACUGGGCGUAAAGGGCGUGUAGGCGGUCAGGUAAGUGGGAUGUGAAAUGCCCCGGCUCACCCGGGGACCGGCAUCCCAUACUGCUUGGCUUGAGUACGGGAGAGGAUGUGGGAAUUCCUGGUGUAGCGGUGAAAUGCGUGGAUAUCUGGAAGAACACCGGCGGCG
rnacentral:rRNA from 1 species